AUUUUAGAUUAAUAAAUUCCAGGCGGUGAUCAACUCAACAAUAACACCUAAUAUGACUUUUACCCAGACAUCACAAAAGUUCGGUCAAUGGAGUGACGUACGAGCGAAUACCGUCUACGGCCUGGGAUUUUCGUCGGAAGCUGAGCUAGGGAAGUUUAUAGAGAAAUUCCAGGAAGUAAAAGAGGCUACAAAAAAUGCACUUAACAAGGCUUCUGCUAAUGAAAAUUCAACAGUUACUUCCGCAAAUGCAUCCCCUGUUACAGCACGUUCUUCAAUGUCAAACAGUGACAGCUUCGACCCCAACAACGUUGAUGUUCCGAUUCCCGCAACUGGUAAUGUUUCCUCGAAUAUCAACACUGAGAGUCCUUCCCAUCCUACUAUCAAUGAUGCUCUCAUCAAUACGAAUCCUCUCAGUAUCGAACUUAAACAGACAUCUAUAAACUCAUCAUCUAGCGAUGGCAUGACACCUUCUUCUGCAGAACAACAACUCAAAUAUGAAAACGAACGGUUAAAGCUGGCUCUUGCUCAAAGGUAACGAUUAACACUAAAUACAUGCAUAAACUCUAAUCCAGUCAGUAAGGUUUUAUUGGGUUUUUGAAUAGCGGAACUGUUCGGUAAAAGUUUAUAAAUCUGGCCAAAAUUCAAAAAUAUUAAAAUUUAUUUCGAACUUGUACAGACUUAGUUCUGUUAACCCCAUUUAAUCAUAUAUU